rnacentral:rRNA from 1 species
GACGUAGGGGGCCAGCGUUGUUCGGAAUUACUGGGUGUAAAGGGUUCGUAGGCGGUGUGGCAAGUCGGGAGUGAAAUCUCUGGGCUCAACCUCUGGCCUGCAUCCGAUACUGCCCGACUAGAGGUAGGUAGGGGAGAUCGGAAUUCCUGGUGUAGCGGUGAAAUGCGCAGAUAUCAGGAGGAACACCGGUGGCGAAGGCGGAUCUCUGGGCCUUACCUGACGCUGAGGCGCGAAAGCUAGGGGAGCAAACAGG